rnacentral:rRNA from 1 species
CCUACGGGAGGCGCAGUGGGGAAUAUUGGGCAAUGGAGGAAACUCUGACCCAGCGACGCCGCGUGCGGGAUGAAGGCCUUCGGGUUGUAAACCGCUUUCAGCAGGGAAGAAGCGAAAGUGACGGUACCUGCAGAAGAAGCACCGGCUAACUAUGUGCCAGCAGCCGCGGUAAUACAUAGGGUGCAAGCGUUGUCCGGAAUUAUUGGGCGUAAAGAGCUCGUAGGUGGUUCGCCACGUCGGAUGUGAAAAUCUGGGGCUUAACCCCAGACCUGCAUUCGAUACGGGCGAGCUUGAGUAUGGUAGGGGAGUCUGGAAUUCCUGGUGUAGCGGUGGAAUGCGCAGAUAUCAGGAGGAACACCAAUGGCGAAGGCAGGACUCUGGGCCAUUACUGACACUGAGGAGCGAAAGCGUGGGGAGCGAACAGGAUUAGAUACCCUGGUAGUCCACGCCGUAAACGGUGGGCACUAGUUGUGGGGACCUUCCACGGUCUCUGCGACGCAGCUAACGCAUUAAGUGCCCCGCCUGGGGAGUACGAUCGCAAGAUUAAAACUCAAANAGAGUAGACGNGNGAGACGCGACGACGACGACGACGGAGGAGGAG